UAGGGACGAAGGGUAAGAAUCAUAAUAAGGUUUUUAUUUGACGGUACCUAACGAGGAAGCCACGGCUAACUACGUGCCAGCAGCCGCGGUAAUACGUAGGCGGCAAGCGUUGUCCGGAAUUAUUGGGCGUAAAGGGAGCGCAGGCGGGAAACUAAGCGGAUCUUAAAAGUGCGGGGCUCAACCCCGUGAGGGGGUCCGAACUGGUUUUCUUGAGUGCAGGAGAGGAAAGCGGAAUUCCCAGUGUAGCGGUGAAAUGCGUAGAUAUUGGGAAGAACACCAGUGGCGAAGGCGGCUUUCUGGACUGUAACUGACGCUGAGGCUCGAAAGCUAGGGUAGCGAACGGGAUUAGAUACCCCGGUAGUCCUAGCCGUAAACGAUGGAUACUAGGUGUGGGAGGUAUCGACCCCUUCCGUGCCGGAGUUAACGCAAUAAGUAUCCCGCCUGGGGAGUACGGCCGCAAGGUUGAAACUCAAAGGAAUUGACGGGGGCCCGCACAAGCGGUGGAGUAUGUGGUUUAAUUCGACGCAACGCGAAGAACCUUACCAAGACUUGACAUUGAUUGAAAGACCUAGAGAUAGGUCCCUUCUCUUCGGAGAACAAGAAAACAGGUGGUGCAUGGCUGUCGUCA
rnacentral:rRNA from 1 species